GAGUUUGAUCCUGGCUCAGAACGAACGCUGGCGGCAGGCCUAACACAUGCAAGUCGAGCGCUCUCUUCGGAGGGAGCGGCGGACGGGUUAGUAACGCGUGGGAAUAUACCCUUUGGUACGGAAUAGCCUCUGGAAACGGAGAGUAAUACCGUAUGAGCCCUUCGGGGGAAAGAUUUAUCGCCAAGGGAUUAGCCCGCGUUAGAUUAGGUAGUUGGUGGGGUAAUGGCCUACCAAGCCUACGAUCUAUAGCUGGUUUUAGAGGAUGAUCAGCAACACUGGGACUGAGACACGGCCCAGACUCCUACGGGAGGCAGCAGUGGGGAAUCUUGGACAAUGGGGGCAACCCUGAUCCAGCCAUGCCGCGUGAGUGAUGAAGGCCUUAGGGUCGUAAAGCUCUUUCGCCUGUGAAGAUAAUGACGGUAGCAGGUAAAGAAACCCCGGCUAACUCCGUGCCAGCAGCCGCGGUAAUACGGAGGGGGUUAGCGUUGUUCGGAAUUACUGGGCGUAAAACGCACGUAGGCGGACUGGAAAGUAUGGGGUGAAAUCCCAGGGCUCAACCCUGGAACUGCCUCAUAAACUCCCAGUCUCGAGUUCGAGAGAGGUGAGUGGAAUUCCGAGUGUAGAGGUGAAAUUCGUAGAUAUUCGGAGGAACACCAGUGGCGAAGGCGGCUCACUGGCUCGAUACUGACGCUGAGGUGCGAAAGUGUGGGGAGCAAACAGGAUUAGAUACCCUGGUAGUCCACACCGUAAACGAUGAAUGCCAGUCGUCGGGUAGCAUGCUAUUCGGUGACACACCUAACGGAUUAAGCAUUCCGCCUGGGGAGUACGGUCGCAAGAUUAAAACUCAAAGGAAUUGACGG
rnacentral:rRNA from 1 species